rnacentral:lncRNA from 1 species
GGCUCUCUGGGGCUGAGAUAGAGGAGUGAGGAGGGCUCUGUGGAGAGGCUGAGAUGGAGGGGUGAGGAGGGCUCUGUGAAGAGGCUGAGAUGGAGGGGUGAGGUGGGCUCUGUGGAGAGGCUGAGAUGGAGGGGUGAGGUGAGCUCUGUGGAGAGGCUGAGAUGGAGGGGUGAGGUGAGCUCUGGGGCUGAGAUAGAGGGGUGAGGAGGGCUCUGUGAAGAGGCUGAGAUGAAGGGGUGAGGUGGGCUCUGGUGGGAUUGAGAUGGAGGGGUGAGGUGGGCUCUGUGGAGAGGCUGAGAUGGAGGUGGGUGUGUGCUGCUGCAAAGAUGACUACUGUAAAAGGAAGGUCUCUGGCAUUUGGGCAAAGGAGGAACUAGGGCAGCCCAGGCAACCUGGAAUGGAUCAUCACAGUGACUGACUGAGCAACAGAUGUGCCCUUUCUCCUCAGUCUUCCCCAGAUCUGGUGGUUUUGGAAGGGACAGCAGGGCUUCCACUCAUUCACACUUUGCUGUCUCCAGGACUCCAUUUCUGCCUUCCAGAGGCCCAGCAGCACCCUCUUCAGUGAGACCCAUGGUUGGGACACCCUUUGCCCUGAGUAUGAACUUGGCUGCCUGCGGUUCUCAGGGUCAUAGGCUUUUGGUAAGGAGCAGUGGGCAAGCACUGAGCUGCCUGCAGGCCCCAUGCUCUGUUGUCAUAGUUCUGCAGCACAAUGCUGCCUACAGCCCUCACAAGUAGAGGGGCACCGCCAAUUCCAAUAACACUACACAAAGGAGAAGAUGGCCGGUGGACCUGCAAGCCAUAGCUUGCUGCUUCUGACCUAGGCUUGUGCGGUUGUGGCUUUAAUUUUUUUAAAUGUUUCCACCCAGAUUUUACUUUUUUUUCUUCCUUCAGCUGUUCAACCCAGGGUCCAGACUUUUCAAGGGCUACUCUAUGGUAGUCCGAACUACUCACUGCUGACACUUGGCACCUAGUCUUCAUUCUGGGACCCCAGAGACAUUCUUCCCUGCUGUGACUAUGCUUGGGGAGGUGUGUCCACUGCCCGGCAUCUCAGCUUCACAAGAGGCCCCACAGGGGUCUCUCACUUGAAGGACAAGGGCCAGGGAGACCAUGUCAGUGGGAAUUACCUGUGAGGUCACGUGCUGCUGCUUCUAGUUCACUCUCUGACCUCUCCUGAAGAAGCCAAGCUGCAGAGAUGAGCUACAAAGGACAUUCUCAGAGCUGUCAAAAAGAAUCAGAGGAGAAAGGCUUCAAAGAAGACUGAGACCAGACCAGCUGCUUGGAAAAAGCAGAAGCCAGCUGAGCUGUCUGGAAGAAGUUUAGAUCAACUGAGGCACCUGGAAAGGACAAUCCACCUCCAACCUGCUGAGCUUCAUGAGUGCUGUGUGUUCCAGGUACCCAGCUUUGUGAGCUGUGGCCCAUGCUGGGGUAGGCUUUGGUGAUACUGCUGGUUUUGAGUCAUUUCUACUCCUGAGAUAGUUUCCUGAGUUCAGCCAUCCCAGGAAUGAGUUGGCCGGAUCAAAACCGAGCUCCUGUUCCCAGUCCCCGGAACCCAACUCCUGUCCUGCUUCUUCAGAUGUUUGGUGUUUGUCUGCUAAGCAGUAAAGGAUAGAAAGAGAUGCUGUGACCCCAUUAUCUAAACUAAGGCACACAAGUCCUAAAUGUGCUGUCUUGACUUAAUUGACUACAUGCAACUUGCCACUCCUUUGUUCCCUGAUCAUUCUAAAAUUCCAGGUCAGAGUCCAAGAAGGGAUUUGAGCCAGCAGCUAACUCAAGGUGACCCAGAUAAGUUUCAGUUACCAAUGUUAACUUCCUUGUUUAACCCCUUGUAUUAAAAUAUGAUUGGUCAAUGGAACAGUUCACUCCAACAUUCUCCCUUGCUUUGUGUUUCUGUCCUAUAAAAAUGUGCUAUCUCCGUUCGGGAUACAGUUCAGAUCCUGAACUGGCCGCCUCCCUGAGCUCUCAGAA